GGGCAUGUUCACAUUCAGUGCAAUGUUUCCUGAAUGAAAUCAGGUAGUGUUUUUCAUGCUCAUUUCCAUGUCUUCUUUAUAAGAAAGGGGAAAAAAAAGAGAAAGAAAAUUUAGACCACCCGAGACCUGUUCUGCUGUCUCUGUCUACUGGAGGAUGGUUCCUUGGGAGGAGUGAAGAGGAAGGUACUGGGAGAAAAGAUACAAGAUAAUAAGAGUAACUCGAAGAGGAACAGAAGGAAACUGGAGAAAUCUGAAAAGCCAAUUAGAGGGCACACUGUAAAGACAAUGAACAGAACAAGAAAUCAAGCUCUUAUUUGUAGUGUUUGCUGAAUCCUGAGGUUUACUAAGUCUCUGGAUAGUGGCUGCUGGACGAGACUAGGCAAGUUGCUUGACUUCUGGGCUCUUGUCAAGGUUGGGAAUACUAAUGACAGUACUGAAGCAAUUUUAUUGUUGAUGACUAUUACUACAGAAGAAUAUUAUCAGUGUUGGAUGGGAGAUUGGAAUUUUAAUGGAUGUUUUAUAAAUGUGGACAUUACAUGUUUGAAAAUUAGGAAACAAACUAGAUGAAACACUUUUAUGAUGUUGUUCCCCAGCUCAAGAAUAUACAAUGGCUCCCUAUCACAGGAAUCAACUCAAACGCCUUAUCUUAGCAUCCAAUGUUCUUUACAGUUUGUCCCCACCUAACCUAUCCACUUCAAUUCUUUGCCUUUUGGGAUAAUUGGGCUAGUUUCUUCUAGCUUACAUUCUCUAAACAUUUCGUACACAUUCCCAACUCCAAGCAUUUGCUCAUGCUAUAACCAUUCCUAAAAUGCUCUUCCCACUCCUUUCUACCUUCAACAACUAACUUUUAUGCUUGUAUCCUCAGGGCCUAGAAUAAGGCCUAGCACAUAUACUUUUAAUCAAUGCUCAUUGAAUGAAAUAAAAUUCAGGAGUGUUUUAAUCGACUUAUAUUUGCUACCAUAAAGCCAAGGUGUAAACUUAAAUUUAGAAGCCUCUCUUCAGCCCACUGACCUUUCAAGAUACCCUCACCACAUACCCUAUAAAGUUCUUUCCCUUUGUCUAUUCCAAUGUGUUAUAGAAAGACUUGGGUAGUAGCCACGUCUAUGGACAGUUGUAAAAUGGGAUAUUUUAAAGGAGAAUUGAGAUACCCUCACAACAGUCAUUUUGUAUAUAUGGAUGAUUAUAAUUUUUACCUUUCAAUAAUCAAAAACACCUAGAUGGUUGAAUGCCCAUCAUUCUAAAAUGACUAACUUUACAAUCUAAUCUAGAGAUGUUUCCAUUAACUUUUCAUUUUCUCGGUGCUUAGAAUAAGUCCCAUUGCUAACAUAAGUCUUUGUAUGUACAAGUUUUGACACGUGGCUUGGUACCAGACAGCCAGAAGUGAUGAACUGUGUCGACAUAUUAAAAUGUAAAUUUGAUUGAAGAAAACAACCUGCAAAAAUUUAUGCUUCUGCAUUAUCUCUGUGAUUAAAUGUUACUUGUUUCAAA